rnacentral:misc_RNA from 1 species
CCUCGCCCCCGAGGCACGCUUCUGUUUUGAUUGGUGCGUUCUCACCAUGAGCAGCAACAAAGAAACGACAAAGACAACCGCCCGAGAGCCGCAAAGGACGAAGGGGCGAUCAUUUUACUCGACACCGAUUGUGGUCUGGGGCGGGACAAGGCAGCACGGGCGGCGUGUGGUGGCGGGGGUACAAGCAAGGGCAGCCGCCUCGCUUGGUCUCUCUUGCCAGCCUUCCUCUUGCCGUCUAUUUUCGGUUUAUGCGUAUUCCCUCCCGUCCAGCAUGAUGUGGUGUGCACGCCAGCAGGCCUGCAUGUGCCUCUGUGGGUGUAGCGAAGUCGAGCCCGUGCCACGUAGAGACGGCAUGGAAGAGCGUCGAGAGGGAGUGCGAUAAGCGUUGUGUUCGUGUGUGUGUGUGUGUGUGUGACGGCGUAGCAAGUCUGUGCGAGAGACUGCCAGCGACUCCUUUCUGCUUUUACUUCCGAUUUUGUUUUCUCAUUCCUCCUGCUUUCGCACUCUCCCCCCUGCCGUCAUAG